rnacentral:rRNA from 1 species
AUUGAACGCUGGCGGCAUGCCUUACACAUGCAAGUCGAACGGUAACAGGUCUUCGGAUGCUGACGAGUGGCGAACGGGUGAGUAAUACAUCGGAACGUGCCUAGUAGUGGGGGAUAACUACUCGAAAGAGUGGCUAAUACCGCAUGAGAUCUACGGAUGAAAGCAGGGGAUCGCAAGACCUUGUGCUACUAGAGCGGCCGAUGGCAGAUUAGGUAGUUGGUGGGAUAAAAGCUUACCAAGCCGACGAUCUGUAGCUGGUCUGAGAGGACGAUCAGCCACACUGGGACUGAGAUACGGCCCAGACUCCUACGGGAGGCAGCAGUGGGGAAUUUUGGACAAUGGGCGCAAGCCUGAUCCAGCAAUGCCGCGUGCAGGAUGAAGGCCUUCGGGUUGUAAACUGCUUUUGUACGGAACGAAAAGCCCUGGGUUAAUACCCUGGGGUCAUGACGGUACCGUAAGAAUAAGCACCGGCUAACUACGUGCCAGCCGCCGGGGUAAGAC